CGCAGGCUUGCAGAGCGCUGGGUCGGGGCUCCAUCCUCAUGGUGGGGACAGCUCCACGAAGCCCUCGUUGGACAAAUGGCCACAGCAAAGCCAAGAGCAUAUCUCAAGCCAUCAAGAUGAAGCCUCAUGGGAGAUGUGUGCUUGCUAUUCCCUGGAGAACGAGGCACCACAUGGACUUACGCAACAGUUGCCUGGCGCUGGGCACAGGAAGUGGAGAUGAGACAGGAAUUACCAACACCCAGGCGGCUUUUAUAAGAAACAAAAACUGUCAUGGUGCCGGCCAGGGUCGGAGUAUGGGAGGCUGGAUGAGGCUUUCUCUGCGAAUCAGAGCAACGCUGACGUCGUGGGAGCAACUGCUCAGGGCGAGGGAGCAAAACUGCACCAGCCACUGCUGCUCCACACUUCACAGCCUGGGCCCCGAGAAAGGUGCUCAGGGGCCCACAUGCAGUGUGUGGCUGCCAUGGCCUUACCCAGUGACCCUGCUCUCGAGUUCUUUCCCUGGGCCACAGGUGACGAUUUUCUGCAGAAAUGACCAGAUGGGCCCGGGAAUUGCUGAAACAAUUACUUAUCCCAGAGGCACAGCCCGUGCACGGCUCUUGUCUUGAUUCUCCAGCAACAGUGGAGUUGGCCACAGACAGAGGCUACCCCUGGCACUCGCACUGCAUUUACCACAGGGAUUUCAACAGAAAUGGGGCACAAGUCGGAAUUUCACUUAGUCUUCCAA